UCCAAACUGGGGAGCACUACCCAGAAGAGAGUAGACUCACCAAUAGUGAGUACUUUGUGCUCCAGUCUUUCCUAGUCUGCUACUCUGCUUUUCCAUAAUCUUCAAAUAAGUCAGAUUUCAGAGCUGCACUCAGUGAGACAGCAUAAAAUCUGUUCACCCAGAACUGGAAUCCCUGACUGUUAUUGUUACAUUUAUUGAUUGAAUGGUUUGCUGGAAAUACCAGGGAUUGAUCCAAGACCUUGUGCAUACUAUCUACACAAGCUGAAUACCACUGAGUUAUGCCCUAUUACUGUCAUUUUAAAAAAGAAUUGCUAAGGUAUGGGCAUGGAACUCAGUGAUGGAGUCCAUAUAAGUCUCUGGGUUCCAUGCCCAACAUCCUAAGGAAAUAAAAAUAAUUACUACUUAAAAUGAUUGGCAGUCAUCUGAGAAACACAGCGAUGGUCUCCCUGUCACAAAUGCAACCUUUUCCAGUUACUGACAAAUAACAUCUGGAUUCUUCCCAGAAGACCUGGUCAUAUUCCCUUGGGAAUCUCUAGGAGAGUUUGAUGUGGAGAUGAUGGUAGAAGUAGAGAGGGGAUGAACUAAAAAAAAACAAGGUUGUCAGAAGUCUGUGAUGGAGUUUUCUUUUAACCAGAGCUAUUGAUACAAGUGUAAUACUGUGAACUAACUCAUUAUAUCCUCGAGAAGCAUAGAGAAGCAGCCCUGGCUAAGGGAGCUGAACAACUUCCAAUGCGCUAUCAGUCACCAGGUCUCUUUGGAGCUCAUGAAAACUCACUGGUGUGGCCCCAGUUUUCAGAAUCAGCAAAGAUCAUUUUGAACAAGUCACAUCACCUCUCUGUGCUUCUGCAUCUUGAAAAUGUGUUUCUGAGGGCAAGGCUGGUGAGAUGGUCUGGUGAGUAAAGGUUCCCCGAUGUCAAGUCUGAAAACCUGAAUUUAAUCCCUGGGUCUCACAAGGUGGAAGAAAACAACUGACUCCCAGAAGUUGUUAUCUGACUUCCAUGUGCAUGCCAUAGCAACACCCCUUCACAUACAUGUACACACCAACAAAAAAAUGUUAAAAAAAUUUUUAGAACUAGGGAGGGAAAAGUAGGGGGGAAUAAAGAGGAAUUGGAGGAGUAGGAAUGGGGGUGAUUUGAUCAAAAUGGAUUACAUGCCUAUGAAAUUCUCCAACAACAAAAAGAUAAAUGUAAAAAAUUUAAAUAAAAUAAUCUAUUUUUUGUCUAUACUUAUCUGAAGUGUCUGCUGAGGAGAGCAAAUUCAUAAGUAUGAAGGAAAUAGCAAGGGUUCAGUAAACAGUAAUGUUCAUACUUUAAUUUUUAAUUUGCCAGGUGUUUAUUUUUAAAUUUUACUUUAUAUGUGUAUGUGCAAUUGUAUGUAUAUUUCUAAAUGAGUACAUACAUGCACUUGUGUGUGUGAGUAUCCCAAGAGGCCAAAAGGGGGUGUUAGAUUCCCUGGAGCUAGAGUUAUGGACAGUUAUAAGCUGCCCAAAGUAGUUCUGGGACCUCUGAAUUUCGGUCAUUAGAAGAACCUUGAGAGCACUCUUAACCCUGAAUUACUUUUCCAGUUCCUAUUCUUUUAUUUUCAAUUUUUGCUGUACUGGGGUGUCUCAAAGUUUCUGUUGCUAUGAAGAGACACCAUGACCACGGCAACUCUUAUAGAGGAAAACCUUUAAUUGGGGUGGGUUGUUUAUAGUUCCGAGAUUCCACCAUUAUAAUCAUGGCAGGGAGCAUAGCAGUGUACAGGCAGAUGUGUUGCUGGCUACGUCUUAAUCAGGAGGCAACAGGAAGUGGAUUGUGACACUGGGCAGUAAUUUGAACAUAGGAGACAGCAAAGCCUGCCCUGACAGUGAGUGACACACUUCCUCUAUUAGGCCACACCUACUCCAACAAGGUCACAUCUCCUAAUAGUGUUACUCACUUUGCAGGCCAUUUUCUUUCAAACCAUUUCAUGGGGAUAGAACCCAGACAUCUUAGUUAGUUUUCUAUUGCCUUGACAGAGCAUGACCAAAGCCAUUUAUAAAAGAGAGUAGUUAAUUGAGGAUCACAGUUCCAGAAGGUAGUAGAGUCCAUGACCAUCAUGGUGAGGACCAUGGCGGCAAGCAGACUGUCAUGGCACCGGAGCAGUAACUAAGAGCCAAGUAAGAUCCACAAGCAUGAGACAGAGAGAAAGAGCAAGGUAACUGGGAGUGGCAAGGGCUUCUGAAACCUCAAGACUCACCCACAAUGAUACCCCUCUCCAGCAAGGCUGUGCCUUCUAAUUUUUUCCCAAACAGUUCCAACUUCAGACCAAACAUUCAAAUAUAUGAGACUAUGGGGGACCAUUCUCAUUCAAACCACCAGACCAGGGCUUUUAGAAUUUAGUAAGUGCUCAGCCACUGCGCUGUAUCCCAUUGCUUGGUGUUUGUUCUCUCAAACUUAUAUUGUCUUAUGACACACUGAUAAUAUUAGUGAGUUAGUGUGACCCGUGGACAUUCUAUGUUUACUCAGAUAUCUCUUGGACCUUCAAGAUGGGAACUUUCAUCCUGUGUUGUGUAAGCCAGUCUAAUUUCAGACAAAUCUGAGUUCGAAUCCUGACUUUUCUGCCAUUGUUUGGCGAUCGUAUUAUUUCCUUCCUUUGAGACAGAGAUUCCAUACAUACGAAAGGGAGAAGAUGCAAACCUUCACUGCACACAGUUUUGUGAGUCGUAACUAGGCUGAUGUAUGUAAAAUGUUUGGCGAAGAGGCCCAUAUGGUGAAAUUGGCACUUGGUAUAAGGGAGCUAUUUUCUGGAUGAGAGGACAAGAGAUGUUGCAGAGAAUUAUUCUUUAUUUUUAAAUUUUUAAACAUAAUUUUUAUUAAUUCUUUGGGAAUUUCUCAUCAAGCACCCCUAUCCCACUCAUUUCCCAGUUCCUCUGUAUCCACCCUUCACCCUUUUAGCAUUUGCCCCCAAAAUGAAAGCCUAAAAAAAUAAAUAAAAAUACAAAAUAAAAGAAUAUUAAUUCAAACAAGCAAAAACUAAAAAAUGCAAAUAAGCAAAAAUAGACACAAAGACAAACCAAAAGCAAUUCAUUUCUUUCCUGCAUCUUUCCCACCUCUCCACCACUUCUUCAUCCAUCUUAGGGCCAUUGGGAACUGCGGGGUAUCAUACGGUAGACUCUUUUCUCCGCACAGUUUCACUUGCAAAUGGUCAUUGUGUAAUGUGUUGCUGGUCAGGUUCAGGACCUCUGGCUUCUGGUAGACCCUCAAUGCUGGACCCUCCCUGAUACCCUCUCAGACAUCCUGCUGUUGCCCCGAGUCGUGGAGAUGCUGCAGCCAUGGUUUUGCAGUCCCUUCACAGACUCAUGAGUAAUGAGACUAUGACUUAGCAGGUCAUAGAUGGGGUAGAUGUUGGGGAGUACCCACUCAAAACCCUGAAUGUGGAUGUCUCAGUGGCAGCUGAGUUGAUCAGUCAGGGCUACUAGGACCACCCUGCUUUGGUGAGGGGAGUAGUCGGCUCACCCACACCCGCAGUGAGGACUUCACCCGUGUGGUAACAUUUACAACGAACAUUAACCAAGACCCCAGUUGCAUCAGGCCCAUGGACCUAGCCAUGGCCAGCAGCAGCUUGGGUCUGGUUGUCACUGUGGCCCCCAGUGACAGUGCAGGGCACAGAAAACCAUUUUUUCAAGGAUGUGGCAUCAUCUGAGUCUUGCCUCCUCAGCUCUGUUCUGGAACCUUCUGUCAGACCUGAGUUGAAAAGCUCUGCUCACUUUGUCUGGUUUGGGUGUUGUUGUUUGUUUAUUUCUGCUGUUGUUACAGCUUUGAGACAGGGUCUUGCUCUCUUGUGCAAGCUGGCCUGCACUCCUGCCUAAGGCUCCUGAACACUGAGGUCAUAGGCAUAAGCCACCACACCUGGCUCUACAGAGUCAGAAAGAUUAUGAUGGCGUCUCAGUCAAAACAAUUUCUCUGAGCCUUUCUUUUUCCCCAUUUAGAUUAGAGAACUCUGCAGGCUUGCUGCAGUUAUAACAUGCUGGGAGAAGAGGAGACUAUGAUGAUUUAAAACCAGCAGGGCCGAGUUCCAGCACUGAAAAGGUGGACAGCCAGGAGGACUGCAAGAGAGAGGGUAACCUUGGACACAUGAAUUUCUCCUAAUGAAUACAUGAAACAGAAGUGACAGAGUACAAUUUCAAAGACGAGGUUCUCAGAGGCGGCCUGGCUUGUUCUGAGCUUUCUUUUCUAGAAGGAAGUUAAUUUACCAUGUCAUGGGCCACUUCAACUACCUGAGGACAGGCCUGUGUGUUCCAGGGGAUCCGAUGCUCUCGUCUGGCCUCUGUGGACACCAGGCCAUGCACAGGGAGCCCAUACAUGCAGUACUGUCCUAUUUGCUGUGAAUGUGACGCCCUGAUCAAGAUGGUCACUUCCUGUCACGUGACGUCAGGUCCAUUGCCUGCUGCCUUGCUGUUUGCUAUCUGAGGAGUAUCCUCCAGUCGUGAACUCAUGUAGCCAACUCCAAUGAGUCAGGACCCUCUCCCUAUCGAUGCCAUUUCCAAGGUUUCCAGCUAUCAUCCUUCCGCCUACUCAUGUCCUUCAGAACUGUGGAAAACUAAACUAUUAGAGCACCCUGGCACUCUGCCUGGCAGGAUGGCAAGGCUUUCAAGCCUCCUUCCUCCCUCAUAGGCAGAGUCCAGUAGUGAGGAGAAUGGGAACUCUGACCAGGAAAGAGUGGCAGAGGUGCAGCAUGAGCGAGCUGAAAUCCUGUAUCCCCUUCUUGAUUGCGAAGUAGUCCCUGAAUCACGUGCAGGUACAACACCCUUCAGGGAAGAAGAAAGAACACGCCACUCCAUAAGCAUCCUUAUAGUCGCGAGGAAAACCUGGUCCUCAAAUACCCCAUUGGACAUCCAUUCCAGUCCCAGGUUUGUGCCCUGAAUCCAAUAAAUCUCUAGCAUUUUAACCUCUUUAAUGGGACUAGGUGGGGAUAGUAGGAAAAAAGCCUACAGAAAUGAGGUCCUGGGACUGAGGGAAAUAGCUAGCUUGGUGCACUGUUUGCCUAAUAUGCACAAAGUCCUGCACCGCAUAAAACCAGGCAUGGUGCUGCAUGCCUGUCACACUAGUACUCAGCAGGUGAAGGCUACAGUGACUUCUGAGGCCAACCUAGGCUACAUGAGGCCUUGUCUCAAAAGAAGGUGGGGAAAGGACUUUUCCAGUCAAAAAUAUCCAUAGUGCUGAGGCAGACCUGGCCUGUAGAAUAAUUAAUUGUUUAGAGUGUCUACCUUUUAUGCAGUGUUUGCUUGAAAAUAUGAUUGCAGAACCCCCAAUAAGUAGUAAGUACUAUUGAAAAGCAGAAUCGGCGAGUUGAGCUCUGGAGAACAGUUAGCAGAUGGUUACAAUAUUCAGUCCAAUGUUUUCAGUUUUCUUUCCCUUCUCCCUCUUUCCCUUUACUGCUUCCUUUUUUGAAUUAGUAAAUUCGGUUCUUCUACAAUUUCACACAUGUGCGUUAUGCAUUUUCACCACUCUCCCCUAUUCCUUUCCCCAGCUCUCUCCCCUAGCCCAUUAACGAGCCUUCGUCUUC